rnacentral:tRNA from 1 species
GCCUGGGUGGCUCAGUCGGUUAAGCGUCUGACUCUUGAUUUUGGCUCAGAUCACUAUCUCCCAGUUUGUGGGUUCAAGACCCACUCCAGGCU